CGAUAAUGCAGAGAUAAUUGAGGAAUUUAAGAUUUAUAAGCCUUGUAGAGUAAAGUUUUAGAUUUAAAUAGUUUAGUUUUGUGUUGCAUUGCAUUUAUUUAUUUAUUUAUUGUUAAGCUUUUAUUUAUGUAUAUAGAUGCAUAUUUGAGAGUAAGGCUCAUUACGUCCCUCCCGACUAGGUGUAUCUUUUUAUUUUUAUAAAUAAAAUUUACUUGUACCGUCGAGUUUUUAAGAUAAGUUUCGC
rnacentral:lncRNA from 1 species